rnacentral:rRNA from 1 species
GUGGGGAAUCCUGCGCAAUGGGCGAAAGCCUGACGCAGCCAUGCCGCGUGGAUGAUGAAGGUCUUAGGAUUGUAAAAUCCUUUCACCGGUGAAGAUAAUGACUGUAGCCGGAGAAGAAGCCCCGGCUAACUUCGUGCCAGCAGCCGCGGUAAUACGAAGGGGGCUAGCGUUGCUCGGAUUUACUGGGCGUAAAGGGCGCGUAGGCGGACAUUUAAGUCAGGGGUGAAAUCCCGGGGCUCAACCUCGGAACUGCCUUUGAUACUGGGUGUCUUGAGUAUGAGAGAGGUGUGUGUAACUCCGAGUGUAGAGGUGAAAUUCGUAGUUAUUCGGAAGAACACCAGUGGCGAAGGCGACACACUGGCUCAUUACUGACGCUGAGGCGCGAAAGCGUGGGGAGCAAACAGGAUUAGAAACCCCUGUAGUCC